rnacentral:rRNA from 1 species
AUACGGAGGGGACUAGCGUUGUUCGGAAUUACUGGGCGUAAAGAGUUCGUAGGCGGACUGAUAAGAAGAGGUGAAAUCCCAGGGCUCAACCCUGGAACUGCCUUUUAAACUGUCAGUCUAGAGACCGGAAGAGGUUAGGGGAAUACCUAGUGUAGAGGUGAAAUUCGUAGAUAUUAGGUGGAACACCAGUGGCGAAGGCGCCUAACUGGUCCGGUACUGACGCUGAGGAACGAAAGCGUGGGGAGCAAACAGGAUUAGAAACCCCAGUAGUCC